AACGUAGGUGGCGAGCGUUAUCCGGAUUUACUGGGCGUAAAGGGUGUGCAGGCUGCCCGUCAAGUGGGGUAUGAAAGUGCCCGGCUCAACCGGGCUUGGUUAUGCCAGACUGACGGGCUAGAGAGCGAGAGCGGGAUGUGGAAUUCCGGGUGUAGUGGUGAAAUGCGUAGAGAUCCGGAGGAACCCCAGAGGCGAAGGCGGCGUCCUGGCUCGCAUCUGACGCUCAGACACGACAGCAUGGGGAGCGAACGGG
rnacentral:rRNA from 1 species